rnacentral:rRNA from 1 species
CCCUUAGAUGUCCUGGGCCGCACGCGCGCUACACUGACAUGUUCAACAAGCCUCCUAGUUCGACAGGAUUUGGGAAAUCUUUGAACGCAUGUCGUGAUAGGGAUAGAUCAUUGCAAUUAUUGAUCUUGAACGAGGAAUUCCUAGUAAACGCGAGUCAUCAGCUCGCAUUGAUUACGUCCCUGCCCUUUGUACACACCGCCCGUCGCACCUACCGAUUGAAUGUUUCGGUGAUGAUUCCGGAUAGGACUUUUUUGAUUUAUUUCAAUUUUGUCUUAAAAGCUAUCUAAACCUCAACAUUUAGAGGAAGGUGAAGUCGUAACA